CGCAUCUGUGCAUGCAGCAUAUCAAUAAGCGGAGGAAAAGGCUGCGGAACUGAACGACCGCUACCUACGCUUAGGAUGUUGACGAGACUGUCGAUCUCAUCUAUACAUGACUCUGUGCAUAUCAAUAAGCGGAGGAAAAGGGAUGUUGUACCUACGCUUAGGAUGUUGACGAGACUGUCGAUCUCAUCUAUACAUGACUCUGUGCAUAUCAAUAAGCGGAGGAAAAGAAACUAACAAGGAUUCCCCUAGUAACGGCGAGUGAAGCGGGAAGAGCUCAAAUUUGAAAUCUUAAAGGGUUUCCCUUUACGAAUUGUAGUUUAAAGAAGUGUUUUCUGUUGAGGUUUUGGUAAAAGUUCUUUGGAAUAGGACAUCAUAGAGGGUGAGAAUCCCGUAUUUGACCUUUACUUUCAACUUUGUGAUACACUUUCAAAGAGUCGGAUUGUUUGGGAAUGCAGUCCAAAAUGGGUGGUAAAUUUCAUCUAAAGCUAAAUAUUGGCGAGAGACCGAUAGCGAACAAGUACCGUGAGGGAAAGAUGAAAAGAACUUUGAAAAGAGAGUUAAACAGUACGUGAAAUUGUCAAAAGGGAAGCGUUUGACACCAGUGUUGUUUUUCUGAAAAUCAAUUAAAGAACUGUUUAUGCUAAGCUGUUUAGACUUUAUCAGCUAUCUGUUUAGUUUUGAGCUUUUCUUUAAUGCACUUUUCAGUUAACAAGUCAACAUCAAUUUCUUUUGCUGUAAAAAAGCUUGAGGAAGGUGGCUUGAGAUUCGUCUUAAGUGUUUAUAGCCUCUUGCCUAUGCAGUCGGAGAGAUUGAGGUCUGCAGCGUAGAUCCUUCGGGGCUAAAUGCAUUUGUGCUAAGUUAUAGCAUUUUAUAGACAACUUGUUGACUAUGAUUUGUCUUGUAGCUUACUCGCUUAUGUUAUUUUACCUACGCUUAGGAUGUUGACGAGACUGUCGAUCUC
rnacentral:rRNA from 1 species